UAAAAGUCUGCAGCGGAUUUGAUAGCCCACGUAGUGUAAGUAGAUGGGCAAAAUGUAAUCGACUAACGAUUAACGAUUAAGACUACAAGAAUUAAUUGCGACUGACGAUUGAAAACGACGACUGAUCAAUCGUAGUUGUAUAGAGUGCAACUAAUUUAGUUGCAACUAAAUUAGUUGCCGAUUGAUUACGGACAACUAAUUUUUGUAAUCGACUAAUUAGUUAGACUAUUUUUUCCGCGACUAAUGUUAGAAGCAAAUUAAAUGGAAAACCUCGGUAUGGCUAUGUUGACAGCCUGCAGAUUAGGACAUCUUAACGCAUGCACUUAUAAAAAUGAAAUAGCACAUGUGUUACUUGCGAUAUUUUGACCAUUUUUAUGGAGUGUAAAAUUUCUCUUAUCUAAGGGUAAAUAAAAAUUGGGUACUUUAUGCAUUGACAAACAAAUAAGACGGCAUAGAUAAUAAACAACAUGCAGAUGUCUCAUGCAAUUAAUAGAACGUGUUUUUUUUAGAAAAUGCGUCGGCACUUGCAUCAAAAUGCAAUAAACAACUUCCAGGUAAGUAGGAUUAUCCCAUUGUUUUGUCGCCGCGUGUAACUAAAAAGAGUUUUAUUAUUGACAGCGACAGCAGAAUAUUGAUAAUUUCUUUGUCUAAGAUUUACUCAGUACCUGUACAACUUAAUUAUUAAUAAUGCACCAGUCUUCAUUAUUGUUUGCGACUUGUAAACAUUGCAGUUUUUCGCUAUUUAUCGUUACCUGUAUCCAUAAUAUAACGAUAUAUACUACACAUAUAUCGUUAUAUUAUUGCCCAUAAUAUUACAUUGUCAUAUCAAAACCAG